ensembl:snoRNA SNORD83 Small nucleolar RNA SNORD83
GCCACAUGAUGUGAUGUAGAUUGCAUUAGCAUUGCUGCAAAGAUGACCGUUUAUCUAUCACCCAUGACUGAUGGCU